ensembl:lncRNA
AGGAUGGAGGGGAGGAUAAUCCGGGGCUGGGGCAGACCUCGCUACCGCGAUCCGAAUCUGAACUCGCAGUGUGAACCGCCCAUGGCGACCCCUAGCGCUCGGGACUGUCCCCGGGGGUGGGGUCCCCUCGCGGAGCCCGGCCCCUACGUCCUUCCCGGUUAAACACACUGCGGGGAGCCCAGCGGCAGCCUCCCAUCCCAACUGGGUCCAGGACAGCACCCGCGCGCGGUCCGCGGGCGAGGAGGUCACCCAGGGCGGCCGGGCGGGUCCCCAGGGAGACCCCCGCCGCUGGGAAACUCCCUAGUUUGGCAGUGGCUUGGCCUGGGGGGCUUAUUGUUAGGGUGAGGUGGGACGACAGAGCUAACAGGGAAGUCUCGUCUCUUCCCCGCUUCUCCAGAGCCCGCCGAACUCCGAGAGGCGAAGGCAGUGGGAAGAAAACGCCAGCGAAAGGGGAGCCACUUACCGAGCAGAACCCGAGAGCGCGGCGGCCCGGGUGUAAGCCGCCCUUUGUCUGCUGCCGCGGCGCUGGCGCGCUCAGCCAGGCCGGUCGCAGCCCCAGCUCGCGGCUAGCUCUCGCCGGCGCCCCGACAGCCCGGCUCGCGACUCCCGCUUGGGCUCGGGCUCCAGCUCUGGCCCCAGCCCCGGCCCCCGCCCGCGCCGCCGCCGCCGCUGCGGCUCCGCCCCGAGCCGGGCCCCGCCCCCGCCCGCCGGGCCCCCACCUGCUGCGGCGGCGGCGCUGGGGAGCCGGGCGCUGGGCUCCUGGGGGUGGCCGCCUCCCGCGCGUCCCGCUCUGCCCUCUCGCAGCCUCCAGGCCGUUUGGCCGGGCGGUCCCGGGGCCUUCCCCAACCUGGCCCCGCGGAGACCAGCUCACCUGGGGAGCCAAGCCCCGUCCUGGGGCAGCCUGGCCUUCCCGGGCACACGCGGGCGAGCCCCAGUCACUCCAAGCCCGUCCUCACGCCUCCUGCGGGUGGGAGAUCCUCGGGCUCCGUCCCGGAGGGAGGGGGCGCCGGGAAGGCGGGAAGCGGGGAUCCGCUGAGCCUGGUCGCCGCCCCGCCAGCCCCGCGCUGCUGCAGCCCCGGGGGCCCGGCGGGAGGUGGUGGCAGAAGGAGCCGGCGGGGACCGGACCGGAAUAA